rnacentral:lncRNA from 1 species
CAUCAGUCGAGAUCCCAAGGGCAGGGUUGACCUUCUCUGGUCAGGACCUCCGAACCCAGUUUUCAGAGCCACCGUGGUGAAGCACAAAGAAGCCAUCUACAAAAUCUAGGCCUACCAUUCCUUAACCUCACUUCUGCCGGCUAUAUUAUAUUACCUGACGCCGGCAAACAAAGCUGCUCGGUUAUUUAUAUGACUAACAAUUUCCUGUAAGUAAUUCCACUCUUAAUUAAUUAACGCGCGCAGCCUAUACAACAUCGGAAUACAUGGAGCAUUGAAUCCAAUAGAUGGAACUGGGAUUGCAUUUUACUUCAGCUGUUUUGUUCGAAGCAAUAAAAUGUUGGAAUCCGA